UACGUAGGGUGCAAGCGUUGUCCGGAAUUAUUGGGCGUAAAGAGCUCGUAGGCGGUUUGUCGCGUCUGCUGUGAAAACGCGAGGCUCAACCUCGCGCCUGCAGUGGGUACGGGCAGACUAGAGUGCGGUAGGGGAGAUUGGAAUUCCUGGUGUAGCGGUGGAAUGCGCAGAUAUCAGGAGGAACACCGAUGGCGAAGGCAGAUCUCUGGGCCGAUACUGACACUGAGAAGCGAAAGCGUGGGGAGCGAACAGG
rnacentral:rRNA from 1 species